AUUGAACGCUGGCGGCAUGCUUUACACAUGCAAGUCGAACGGUAACAGGCCGCAAGGUGCUGACGAGUGGCGAACGGGUGAGUAAUGCAUCGGAACGUGCCCGGUCGUGGGGGAUAACGCAGCGAAAGCUGUGCUAAUACCGCAUACGAUCUAUGGAUGAAAGCGGGGGACCGUAAGGCCUCGCGCGAUUGGAGCGGCCGAUGUCAGAUUAGGUAGUUGGUGGGGUAAAGGCUCACCAAGCCAACGAUCUGUAGCUGGUCUGAGAGGACGACCAGCCACACUGGGACUGAGACACGGCCCAGACUCCUACGGGAGGCAGCAGUGGGGAAUUUUGGACAAUGGGCGCAAGCCUGAUCCAGCAAUGCCGCGUGCAGGAAGAAGGCCUUCGGGUUGUAAACUGCUUUUGUACGGAACGAAACGGUCUGGGUUAAUACCCUGGGCUAAUGACGGUACCGUAAGAAUAAGCACCGGCUAACUACGUGCCAGCCGCCGCGGUAACAC
rnacentral:rRNA from 1 species